GGUACAUAGUUGGGGAAGAGGUAGGUACAUAGUUGGGGAAGAGGUAGGUACAUAGUUGGGGAAGAGGUAGGUACAUAGUUGGGGAAGAGGUAGGUACAUAGUUGGGGAAGAGGUAGGUACAUAGUUGGGGAAGAGGUAGGUACAUAGUUGGGGAAGAGGUAGGUACAUAGUUGGGGAAGAGGUAGGUACAUAGUUGGGGAAGAGGUAGGUACAUAGUUGGGGAAGAGGUAGGUACAUAGUUGGGG